rnacentral:rRNA from 1 species
UACGUAGGGUGCAAGCGUUGUCCGGAUUUAUUGGGCGUAAAGAGCUCGUAGGCGGUUUGUCGCGUCUGCUGUGAAAACCCGAGGCUCAACCUCGGGCCUGCAGUGGGUACGGGCAGACUAGAGUGCGGUAGGGGGAGAUUGGAAUUCCUGGUGUAGCGGUGGAAUGCGCAGAUAUCAGGAAGAACACCGAUGGCGAAGGCAGCUCUCUGGGACGGUACUGACGCUGAGACGCGAAAGCGUGGGGAGCAAACAGG